AUGCCUACGUUCGCAUUGACUGUCCUUCGAGUGCCAAAGAAGCUUCUAAAGGAGAUUGACAAGUGCAGGCGCAGAUUUUUAUGGAAGCAAGAUGAGGAGAUCACAGGUGGUAGCUGCAAGGUCAAUUGGAUAGCAGUGUGCGCUCCCACAUCGCACGGAGGACUGGGCAUCCUCGACCUCGAGCGGUUCAGCCGAGCCCUUAGAUUGCGGUGGCUCUGGACAUCCUGGACCGCCCCGGAGCGAGCAUGGGUUGGUACAGAGCCACCGUGCAGCAACAUCGACAAAAGCCUUUUCAGGGUUGUGACCACGGUCACCAUCGGCGACGGCGCAACGGCUCUCUUCUGGCACUCCUCCUGGAUCGGGCCGCACAACUUAGCCACCUCAUACCCCCUCCUCUACUCGCACUCCAGGCGAAAAAACAGGACGGUGCGCGAGGCGCUCACAGGCGAAACUUGGAUAAAAGACCUGCGACACGGGAAUCUACAGCCACUCCUGCCAGAAUUUAUCCGGCUACACCACAUUAUUUCCUUGAUCGUGCUAACUGACGGGAGCAGGGACAAGAUUAGAUGGACUCUGGAGGCGAGCGGCCUAUACUCGGCAAGCUCGGCUUAUGCCGUGCAAUUUCAGGGACGUGUUCAUGUUGACUGGCAAAAGCUGAUCUGGGAAGCAAAGGUGCCGGGGUGCAUCAAGAUUUUCAACUGGCUCCUCCUGCAGAACCGUCUAUGGACAUGCGAUAGACUGCAACGGCGCGGCUGGCCGAACAACUAUUUUUGCCCGCUCUGCGUCCGCAAUCUGGAGACAGCAUACCACCUAGUUUGGACCUGCCCACUGGCCCGUGAGUUUUGGGAGAGGGUGGCUGCACGACGAGGAUGCCAAUAG
rnacentral:rRNA from 1 species